GUGAGGGUGGUGGAUCACUUCAUCAUCUCGCGAGAUCCCUGUGUCCUAGUCGUGUCCAGUCUACAGCAGGAAGAGCGUCCCCACGGUGGCUCUGCCUUCUCUGCUCUGAGAAGGGGAAGCUGGAGACCUCGCGAGCGGGAAGUGUUAUUCUGAACAAAGAAUCAACAUAUUUGACGUCGUAUAUUUUCAUAUACAAGCACACAAUAAAAUGGAGUUUUAUGGAUCAAAAUCUACAAGCAACACUGACCAAGAUGAUGUUUGUGUUUGUGAAGAUGAAAAUUAAGCCUUUCAUAGAACAGAAGGACUUUAGUUUUCUGCAAAACGAGUUUGCCUGAGAUUUUCUGGUUACACUCAAAUGGAAUUCCUCCACAAUUUGGCCAGUUAUGGGUGGAUGAAAUGAGAAAAAUCUGGUUCUCCUGUGGCUAACUCAAUAUCAGAUGUUGCAACAGCCUCUUUGCUUUGGGUUUUCUUGAGUUUUUUUUUGUGCAUUUCACUAUAUUUAAUGAAUUUUAUGAUGGUAUAUUGUGUUUCAAGCUGGAAAAUGGAAUUCAUGAAACUGAAUAAAUGAUCGUAAUCAGGGCACAGAAUUGGGCUUUCUGGAAUUCAAUGUUGGUUUUAUAGAUUUGGGCACAUCAGCGGAUAAUUCUUUUGUUAAUAUGCAAUUUUCUUUUUUUUUUUCUUUUUCUGAAUUUGUUGCUGUAUCUCUUUCUUUCGGUUUUUAUUCAAACCAAAAAAAAAAAAAAACAGAUUUGAUGUAGUAUCCAUUAUGAUAUACAAGCACACUGCAAACUGGGGUAUUAUGGAUCAAAAUUUACAGGCAACACUGACCAAGAUGAUGUUUGUGUUUAGAAGAGGAAAGUUAAGCCUUUGAUACGACAGAAGAAUUUUACUUUUCUGCAAAACAAGUUUGCCUGCGACUUUCUGGUUACAAAGAAUCGGAAUUCCUAAUGAAUUUUGCCAUUUAUCAUGGCUCAAAUGAGAAAAAUCUUGUUCUCCUGUGGCUUAUUCAAUAUCAGAUCUUGCAGCAGCCACUUGCUUUGGGCUCUCUAGCAUAUAUUUUGUGAAUUUCACUAUUUUUAAUGAAUAUAAGAUGUUACAUGUGUUUCAUGCUGGGUAACGGAAUUCAGGUAACUGGAUGAAUGGUCUUUUCAAAUCAGGGCACAUGAUUUGGCUUUCUGGAGUUCAAUGUUGGUUUUAUUGUUUUGGGCUCAUCAGACGAUUAUGCCAUUGUUCUUCAGCACAUCACUCUAGUUUUUCUGGUUUUUUAUUUGUUUCCUGCCGUAUCUCUUUCGUUCAUUUUUAUUCUCACCCAAAACAACAGUUGUGAUGUAGUACCCAUUAGAUAUACAGAAACACUACAAAUUGUGGUUUUAUGAUUCAAAAUCUACAGCCAGCAACGACCAAGAUGAUUUUUGUGUUUGUGGAAAUGAUAUUUAAGGCUUUUGUAGACCUGAGGGAUUUUAGUUUUUCUUUCUUUCUUUCUUUUUUUUUUUUGACAGGCAGAGUUAGACAGUGAGAGAGAGACAGAGAGAAAGCUCUUCCUUCCAUUAGUUCACUCCACUAAUGGCCACUACUAUGAGCACUGCACCAAUUGAAGCCAGGAGCCAGGUGCUUCCUCUUGGUCUCCAAUGCAGGUGCAGGGCCCAAGGACUUGGGUCAUCCUCCACUGCCUUCCCAGGCCACAGCAGAGAGCUGGACUAGAAGAGGAGCAACCAGGACAGAUUCCGGUGCCCAAACUGGGACUAGAACCCAGGGUGCUGGAGCUGUAGGUGGAAGAUUAGCCAAAUUAGCCAUGGCACCAGUGGAAUUUUAGUUUUUCCAAAACAAGUUUGCCUGUGAUUUUUUUUUGUUAAAAUCAAUAAGAAUUCUACAGCAAUUUGCCCUGUCAUAUGUGGAUUAAACCAGAAAAGUCUGGUUCUUUUGUGGCUGUGGCUGGGCUGAUCAGGAGCCCUGAGCCAGGAGCUUCUUCUAGGUUUCACAUAUGGGUGCAGGGGUACAAGUGCUUGAGCCAUCUUCUGCUGUUUUCUAGGCUAUUUGUAGGGAGCCAGGUCAGAGGUAGAAUGGCUGGGACUCAAACUACUGCCCAUAUGAGAUGCUGGCACUGCAGGCAGAAGUUUAACCUACUAUGCCACAGUGAUGGGACCAUAAUAUGUUUUAACUACCCAGUGUUGAUGUACACUUGAAUUGUGUCUAGUACAGGGUAAUGGCAAACAGACAGCCACUUGGAAUAUUGCUGUGCAAUCCUUUGAAGGAGUGGUUGUUUGGUUGUCUUGAUUAAGUGCCUGAAAGUGGGCCAAUUGUCCCAGCUGUCAAAUAUAGUAUAAGAGCUUCUCAGUGUCAUUUUCCUCCCAGCUUGCUCAUAAGACAUUCAGAUGAUCUCAGAGUAUGUGUAAGCCUACUUAAGGCAUAAGGUUUGUUCUGGUAGGCCGUGGAAUGAAAGGAAAUAAAAUAUUCAUUUAUUUAUUUAUUCAUUUUCAACCAUUUUUUUUCAGAUUAUUUUAAAGAUUUAUUUUAUUUGAAAGACAGAGUUACAGAGAGAGGUAGAGACAGAGAGGUCUUCCAUCUGCUGCUUCACUCCCCAGAUGGCUGCAACAGCUGGAGCUUUGCCAAUCUGAAGCCAGGAGUUAGGAGCUUCUUCUGGGUCUCCCACAUGGGUGCAGGGGCCCAAGGACUUGGACCAUCUUCCACUGCUUUCCCAGGCCAUAGCAGAGAGUUGGAUCAGAAGAGGAGCAGCUGGGACUAGAACUGGUGCCCAUAUGGGAUGCCAGUGCUUCAGGCCAGGGCUUUAACCUGCUGUGCCACAGUACCAGCUCCAACAUUAAUUUUAGAUGUGUAAUUAGUAUCACUUUUUAUAGCAGCAUUUUUAAAAUUUGAAAAUGUGUGCUGGCCAGUGCCGGGGCUCACUAGGCUAAUCCUCUGCCUUGUGGCACUGGCACACCGGGUUCUAGUCCCAUUCGGGUUGCCAGAUUCUGUCCUGGUUGCCCCUCUUCCAGGCCAGCUCUCUGCUGUGGCCAGGGAGUGCAGUGGAAGAUGGCCCAAGUGCUUGGGCCCUGCACCCGCAUGGGAGACCAGGAGAAGCACCGGGCUCCUGCCUUCAGAUCAGCACGGUACGCCAGCCACAGCACACCAGCCACGGUGGCUAUUGGAGGGUGAACCAAUGGCAAAAGGAAGACCUUUCUGUCUCUCUCUCAGUGUCCACUCUGCCUGUCUAAAAAAAAGAAAAAGAAAAAGAAAAAGAAAAUGUGUGCCAGUGAUUUACUUACAGUAUUAAAUAUAUGGUUACUAUAUAUGAGCUUAUUGAAGAGUACUUAUGUUAGUUUAUGGAAAUUCCAGUGGAAUUUACGUAUGAUUGUGUUUCCAUUCUCCAUCAACUAUUCACUUCUAACAUUGUAAUGUUAAGCAGCCGUGCACAAAUAAGAGCUCUAUAUACCUCAUUGUAGUAAACCAUCCCGUCCCAACACAAUCCAACACUGCUGUGUUUUUCAUGUUGAUAUGUUGAUAUGUUUAUGUUUUCAGCACUUUUUUUAUCAAACCAUUUCCCUGUAAAUCCUUCCAAUUCUGUGUGACAAGCACGAUUUAUUUCUAUUUAAAGCAAUAUUGAAAAUGAAGACAUGACAUGCUUAGUGCCUUCAACAUUGCUUUUGAGAACUGCUAACAUCUCUAGCACAACACCUGUAAUAAAUUCAAAUCACACCUUAAUAUAAGACAGCACAGCAUAUGAACAAUCAAAAUCUGAAAUCAACACAUAAUUUUGUCAAACUAGAAGCUGUAGCUAAUAUGUUUCCAUAUUUAUUUAUUUAUAUUCCACAUAAAAACACUAUAAAACUCAGGAUGACUUUAAAGAAUUUUUUCUGAAAAGUACAGUAAGCAAAUAUGAAAGCCUGAAAAUUAUUUCAGAAUUACUCCUCUUAUGGUUGGCAUUAAGAUGCAGCAGGUUAAGUGCCACUUGGGACACCACCAUCCUACAUCACAAUCCUGGUUUGAAUCCUAGUCCUCUGCAUUUCCAAUCUAGCUGCCUGCUAAUGCACUUGGGCAGGCAGAGGAUAUGGCCAAGGUACUCAGCCACUGAUAACCCAUGUGGGAAUCCUGAAUGAAGUUCCAGGCUCCUUAAUUCACCCUGGCCCAGUGCUGGCUGUUACAGUCAUUUUGGAAGCUGACCAGAAGGUGGAAGACCUUUCUGUCUCUCCCUUUCUAACACUCUGCCUUUCUGGUAGAUAGAUAGAUCUAUUUAAAAAUAAUUUUUAAAUUCUUCUCUUAGGAAGAAGUAAUUUUCAAAAUUAUUUGUUUGAAACAAAUAGAUCUGGUACAAUGUUACAAAAAUAAAAUACAACAUAUUAAUGAAAACUCAGAUUCGUUAUUGCCAUCUAUUUACAAAAUCAAAAAUCAGUCUGUGAAAAUCCAAACUUUACUCUCAAUAAAAAUGUAGAUGCAUGCUUAACUCACUUUUAGAUUAUAACUAAAGUAAAAUCUUAGAGAAAGAAAAAUCUCCCUAAAGUUUAAAGUUUAAAUGGUUCUACAAAUCUUAGCCGUCCUCACAAAUAGCUCAGAAACAACCCCUAAGAAAAGGAGAGGCUGAUGAGAGAUAGCAUAUUAGGCUUCUCAUUUCAGCAAGUUUUUCCUGUCCAUAUAUUGGCAUUCAAGUAUAGUUUCACUUGAAAAAAUAAAAUGGAUAUUUACAAGUCAAAUCAUCUGAUUUUCAUGUUAGAACUAGUGCACAAAAUGGUAUCUACCAAGGGCACUCAAAAGUUCUUUAUACAAAGAGAUGAUUGAUUGAGAUUGAUUCCUUCAAAGCUUUGAUUUUAUAGACUAUUUUGCAGAAAGUGAAUUUUCUGAAGUAUGAACUAUAUGCAUAUUAAUAUAACAGCAACACAUUCCAAAGUCAAAUAUGUUUUUAUACUCAUCUUUUGAAUGUAAUCCCUCACCUUGGUUUCUAUACAUUAGUAAGUAUUAAAAUUCUAAUUCUUUAUGUCUAGUUCCAUCUGUUAGAAUUAUCAGUGCAUUCAUUAAGUUUAUAAUAAAACAGUAGGUGCAGCUUGAUGAGUGCAUUCAUUUUUUAGAUUUACUUAUUUAAUUUGAAAGUCAGAGUUAGAGAGAUCAGGAGAGACACAGAGAGAAAUCUUCUGUCUGCUGGUUCACUUCCCAGAUGAUUAUAACUCCCAUCAUUGGACCAGGUGAAAGCCAGGAGCUGGAGCCUCAUCCAGCUACCCUGCAUGAGGGGCAGAGAAUCAAAUACUUGGUCCAUCUUCCACUGCUUUGCCCACACUGUUAUCAGGGAGCUGGAUCAGAGGUGAAGCACCUGGAACAGAAAGCGGUAUCUAUGUGGGAUGGUAAAAUCACAGGCAGCAGUUUUACCUGCUAUGCCACAAAGCUGGCCCCAAGUAUAUUCAGUUUCUUUCUAUUUAAAAAAAUUCAUUCUUUAGCAUGCUGUUUUUUUUGAUGGGUAGAUGGAUUUUUUUUUUUUUUGACAGGCAGAGUGGACAGUGAGAGAGAGACAGAGAGAAAGGUCUUCCUUUUCUGUUGGUUCAAUGGCCGCUGUGGCUGGCGCACCACGCUGAUCUGAAGCCAGGAGUCAGGUGCUUCUCCUGGUCUCCCAUGGGGUGCAGGGCCCAAGAACUUGGGCCAUCCUCCACUGCCUUCUCAGGCCACAGCAGAGAGCUGGACUGGAAGAGGGGCAACUGGGAAAGAAUCCGGUGCCUGACCAGGACUAGAACCUGGUGUGCCAGUGCUGCAGGUGGAGGAUUAGCAUAUUGAGCCAUGGCGCCAGCCUAUCAUGCUGUUUUGAGACUUGAUUUUUCUUAAGAGUUAUUUAUUAAUUUGAGAGGCUGAGUUACAGAGAGAAGGCAAGAGACUGAGAGGUCUUCCAUCCACUGAUUCACUCUCCAAAGGCUAUGAUGGCCAGAACUAGGCCAAUCUGAAGCCAGGAGCCAAGAACUUCUUCUGGGUCUCCAAUGUGGGUGCUGGGGUCCAAGCACUUGUGCCAACCUCCAUUGACUUUCCAGGCCUUGGACCAGAGAGCUGGAUUGGAAGAGGAGCAGCCAAGACAUGAGCCAGUGCCCAUAUGGGGAUGCUGGCAUCACAGGUGGAGAUUUAAUCUACUGUGCCAUAGUGCCAGACCCAUGUAUUGAAUUUCUAAAAUUUCAAACUUACAGUACUUAUUAAGCCUCAGAAAAUAUUAUUACAUUUUACUUUAUCAUCAAAAGCUAGAUAUGUUUGCUUUUCUAAUCAGAGUAUUUGAUUUGUUCAGUGUUACUAAUAUACAACAUAUUUUAAGGCAUAAUUUAAAUAUAUUUUCAAAUGUAUUUACCUGCCCAUGAAUAAUUGCAUAACUGUCAAACUACAGUUUUCACCUUAUUUCCAAAAAUGUUAUGAAUUUUUAAUGGAGUACUUUGAUGAAUUUGAAGAUACCAUGCUGAAUUUAAAUGAGAAUGAGAUACAAAAUCAGAGAAAUCAUGAUAUUUCUCAUCAUUAUUGCAACCCAUAGUAUAAUAUUCAACUCUUAUCAAAUUUGAUUAUUUUCUGUCUGUAAGUGGGAUAGUUGGCUCUGAGUUGAGGAGUUGAGGUUUGAGCUUGUACUACUGAAUAUAAAUGUGUGGAAUGGAUACCAUUUCAGGCUCAAGUGUUCAGAUGGCAUGGGAACUUCUAGCAUACUUAUAAGGUUUGAUUUUCCAACUGUUAACAUUUUCCAAUUGUAAUUGUUUCUCUCUAGUUAAGUUAAUAGUUAUGCUCCAUCAAAAUUUGUGAAAUACUGAAAUUCUAUGUUACCUUGACAGGAAUAGGAAUGCUGGGAGUUAUGUAACUCCACAAAAAUUAUUUUUACUAUAAAUAUAUUUGAAAUAUGCAGCCCUAUGCAUGUAUUGUCUAUUUGAAAUGGUUUUAUUCUGUUGUGUGUAUCUCACUAACUAACGUUAGUUUUAAAGAUAACAGUGCAACACAGGGCAUUAUUUUUGCUUUAUUCUCUAUCAUCUACACAUCAAAGUAAUGGUGAAGAAAGUCAGUAUUACUGUUCAGACACUGCUUUAUUUGUCUUCAGAGAAGUUAUCAAAGUGCUCUGGAGGUUUCUCUCUAUUUAAGAAAGGAAAAACAAUUUAUAAACUAUUAUAUUUAUGAAAACUGAAGUGUUCUCUCUAUCCAACUUUUUGCUGAUUUUAAGUUAUGCGUAUAUCAUUAUACUGCUGGUAUCAAAGAGAAAACACUUUCAAUAACCAAUCUAAUUUGGCUAAUCUCUAUAAAAGUGAUGUGAAUAUUUUACAAGAUUAUUUCAGAAGCAAAAGAAGAGUGAACAUGUAAACAAAUGGGUAUGCAAUUUUCUCUCUUGCAUAAGACUGCUUGAAUUCCAUGAGCUGCCUCAUGCUAGUUCCAGCAAAAGGGCAGUGCUCAGACACCAGGCUCAACGUACUCUGACAAAGCUGUCAGGAUAAUAAUAUAUAGCUGGCCGGCUAAUAGAUUUUUAUAAUGCCCUUCAAAAAGCUUACAGACACCAUUUUGUCCUCAUGUGGAAAAUGAAAUAUAUGAAAAUGAAGAAUAGUUAUGUAUGUGUGGAUCAUCCAUGAGAACAACUGUAAAGUUUAUUAUCUGAGGCUGGUGCCAUGGCUCACUAGGCUAAUCCUCCGCCUUGUGGCACUGGCACACUGGGUUCUAGUCCUGGUUGGGGUGCCGGAUUCUGUCCCGGUUGCCCCUCUUCCAGGCCAGCUCUCUGCUGUGGCCAAGGAGUGCGGUGGAGGAUGGCCCAAGUGCUUGGGCCCUGUACCCCAUGGGAGACCAGGAGAAGCACCUGGCUCCUGCCAUCAGAUCAGUGUGGUGCACGAGCCGCAGCGCACUGGCCGAGGCAGCCAUUGGAGGGUGAACCAAUGGCAAAAGGAAGACCUUUCUCUCUGUCUCUCUGUCUCACUGUCCACUUUGCCUGUCAAAAAAUAAAAAAAAAAAAGCUUUAUUAUCUGAAAUCACAAUAAGCAGAGUUUUCCUCAUUUAGACUGUUUUGCAUCAGCUUUCUUUCCCUGUUAGUGUGCUAAAUCAGUGUGCAUAUGGUAGACUUCCAAGUCUUCUCUUGUCAAAUAAAGGCUGCUUUACAUUGGCACUUUUCUACAUAGGAUUUCAGAUGUUUAAGUGUACAUUAAGGUAGUUGUGGGGAUCUGUGUGUUUGGGUCAGAAUUGGAAAGAAGUUAAUUAGUAUAGGGCAUGUAACUAAAAUGUUAGCAUCAUUGACAUUAAUAGUAUUGCUAAGUAUUGUCUUUGAGUCUUAUUGUUCCUCAUUUUAUUUUUGUUGGCUUUGGCUGCUUUGAAAAUUUACAGGAUGAAACUACAGAUUGUUGCAACUGAAGGUUUAGGUAUUGUGUAAUUCAUCAUAAAUUGUAUGUGUGUCAUCAGUACUGGUAUUUCUGUUGCUUUGUGUUUAAAUACAACCAAAUUUCACAUAAAAGAGACAACUGGCAAUAAAUGCAUAUCAGCAUAGACAGCAAUUCAAAAAGUGAGGUUGGCACCCUGAAUUUAUUGGUAAUCACUAACAAAUAUUUGUGAGAAAAAGGAAGAUCAACAUGUUUAAUUUCCAAGCAAUGAGGUCUCUGAUUGAAAAGUCCUUUGGCACCUGGCACAGAGCCACAGCAGGUAAAACUGCCACUGUGGUGCUGGAAUCGCAUAUGUGUGCUGGUGUGAGUCCCGAAUGUUCCAUUUCUCAUCCAGCUCCCUGCUAAUAUGCCUGGGAAAGCAGUGGAGGAUGGCUCAACUAUUUGGGCCCCUGCAGCCUUAUGGGUUGACUGGAAGACAUUCCUGGCUCCUGGUUUCAGACAGCCCAGCUCUGGCCACUGUGGCCAUUUAGGGAGUGAACUAGAGGAUGAAAGAUCUCUAUCUCUCCCUCUCCUUUUGUAACUUUGCCGUUCAAAUAAAUAAAUAGAUCUUUAAAAAUAAAAAGUCCAAACUUUAACAACUGCAGAUGUGAUAUUUUAUUUCAUUUAGUCAUAAUGUACAACCUUAGAACAGAAUGUUAAGACUCACUUUGAAUACUGGGUAGUACAAAAACAACAUGGGAUUCAUAGGAGGUUGCUUAGCAUAUACACACAAGGGAAUAUUGA